AUACGGAGGGUGCAAGCGUUAUCCGGAAUCACUGGGUUUAAAGGGUGCGUAGGCGGCCCGUUAAGUCAGCUGUGAAAUCGCUGGGCUCAACCCAUGCAAUUGCAGUUGAUACUGGCGGGCUUGAAUGGGGUUGAGGCUGGCGGAAUGCGACAUGUAGCGGUGAAAUGCUUAGAUAUGUCGCAGAACACCGAUUGCGAAGGCAGCCAGCUGGGCCUUUAUUGACGCUGAGGC
rnacentral:rRNA from 1 species